rfam:Schistocephalus solidus strain NST_G2 genome assembly, scaffold: SSLN_scaffold0006201
GGCCACGUUGCUCAGUUGGCUAGAGCGUUGGCUGUACUAAAACCUUCUCUAUGCUGGUGUGGGUUCAAAUCCCACCGAGGCCG